GCAACAGCUGAGGCUGCAGGUGAGUCUCAGGAAGUGAGACUCUGGGUAGAGAGUCUCUGAAGGUUCUGCAGGUGAGACUCUGAGUUUAUAGGAUUAAAACAGAGAGCGCGCAGAUUUGUGGAAGACACUGUUAUGAGAGAACUUUUGGUCAUAAAUACACGAUGGAAUUCAAAGCAUGGGAUGUUCACCUGGAGAUGAGGCCUGCCGGUGCGGCGUGUCAUGGAGAGAACACACAGCUGGCUGUGGACCUGCGGUGAAUACCUCGCACCUAAACCCCUAGAUAGGUAAUAGAGAACUGUCUUUCGGGAGAGGAAGUAGACAGUUCUACAAGUUCGAGGGGACCUCCACAGUGAAGUGGAGGACGUGAGGAUCUAAAGGGGGGACACGCACCUCCCCCCCAUCCCCCAUCUUAUCUCCCCAAGAGAGAAGCUUUAAGGAAUGGACGCACGGCAGAGGAAUCGACAACUCUUCACUUAGUAACCCUGAGAACAAUUGGGACAUUGAGACGAGGUUUCCGGGUUGGCCACUUGUUCAGGAGAGGAUUUGGAGUGUUUCCAUGUCACCCAUGAGGCCCUUGUAUGAGGAACAUCACGGGACCUUCAGUCGCCAAGAGACUGCAGUAGUGAAGCGCGUAAAGUCUCCUCCCAAAAUAUCUUAGUGGCAUUCUGUAAACCCCCUUCUCAAAGACACACACACACACACACACACACACACACACACACACACACACACACACACACACACACACACACACACACACACACACACACACACACACACACACACACACAGAAGAAUAUAAUGUACUAAGAAAACUAUGGACAAAGGAGAGAAAGUCUUGACAAGAAAUUGGGCAUCUGUUCCAAGAAUUGAGGCUCUUUUUUAUUUCAUCCUCCCACAUUUGACUCUUCCCGGUGGUUUGUUUGUUAAUUUCUCUGCAAUUUUGUUGCAGGAACCUGUGGUAGUCUGACCACCCUCUGUGUGUGUGUGUGUGUGUGUGUGUGUGUGUGUGUGUGUGUGUGUGUGUGUGUGUGUGUGUGUGUGUGUGUGUGUGUGUGUGUGUGUGUGUGUGUGUGUGUGCGUGUGUGCAUAAAUAUAUAUAUAUAUUAGGGCAGAACAUCUGAGACUACACAGUCAGGCAGACAGGCUGAGUCACUAAGUCACUGGCUGGUUCUGUGGAGAGCUGAUAACAGCAUUCGCUCAGGGGCUUCUGGAACAGGGAACACACACACACGCAAACACGCACACACGCACGCACGCCACAACUUUAAAGUAAGUAGUUCAUGAGAAUGUCAUGAGAAGUCAUAAGCAUUGAGUUGGACAAGGGGAAGGUGGGAGGGUCAAAUUAAAAGACAAUAGUGAUGGACAGAUCGAAUGAUCGGUAAUGGAGGAGUUCAUUGGGAAUGGAAGAAGAGAGAGAUUCUAAAGCACUUGUGUGAUAAAGGACAAAUGCUGGUGCUUUAUACAAGAAGCGGUGUAGUGGUCGUAGGGUUCUGUCUAUGUCUCCCCUAUAAUCCAGAUAGCUGAUUGGUUUGGGCAUGGUGACAUAAUCAGUAGGGGCCAAUAGUGCAGAAACAUAAUGCUGGAAGCCAAAAUUUCCCAAUGCCGAAUUUUGUUAAUGAGCACCGUAGUAAUCCCAGUUUAUUUUCCAUUUUUCUCUUUUCUCUGUACUAGAAAGGUGCUUUCAGUAAUAUUUAGGAGCUUUUUUGAGCGUAGUAUGUUGGACAUGGCCUCCCCAUCUGUCAGCUAUUAGUGAAUGAAAACCCAAGUGAAGGAUUUUUCCCGGUCAGACACCAACUCCAUUGUUUUCCUAUUGGUUAAGCAGUGCAGUCAUUUCAGAGGGGGGAGGGGCCAUUGAGGGUCACACUUAAGGGUCAGGAGAAGUUUGUGUGUAAAGGUACCAUCCCACGUCCACUGCAUCUAAUUUCCUGGCCGCAGAGUGACGGGGCAGGACAAAUAAUAAAAGAAAAAAAGAGAAUGAACAACUGAAAAAAAAGAUAUUUGAUAGGUAUAGUAUAGAUAAUUGAUCAUAUCAGAAAUUAAUAAUACUCAACUUCUCUGAAAAACUUUCUCAUUACCUGAGCAUAACAUUAUUUCCCUGCUUCUUUUUUUUCAAGCUGUCAACAUCCGCAGCCUCGUCAUGGAGGUCACGAUAAUCACGCCUAUGCCAUUGCCACUGGCAAAUUAUUUAAAUAUGAGGGUGUUAAUACAUAUUUUAGCGUUUCUGUCUCAAAAUUAAAACUUUUAGCUCACGCUAUUUGUUGUAUUUCUGGAGACACAAAUGACUAAUGCCUGGAACACUUUUGCUUAACAUCAGAUUAAUUUGUAAUGCAGAUUUUACCUUAUUACUCAAGUAAAUAGUACUUUAUUUUUGCUAUCUUGUUAACUCUUCUGUUAUGAGCAAGGGUUAGGGGGUUUAACCUCAUUCUAGAUGUUGAUGAACUGUUGAGCAUUAGUUCAGAGUGUGAUGCUGAGAAUCUUACCUUUGCUGUUAGGGUUAGGGUUAUCUCUAGUACUACCACAUCAUAGCCGUGCGGUUACUCAAAGUUAAUCAACACCCCUCCAGGCAAUCCCAAUCCAAAGAAUGAAUAUUAAAGUAUAAACCCAUGAUUAUUUAUAUCUAUCCAUGACACUCCACCAUAUGUUCUGCUGCUGCACCUCUUGACUAUAAAGGCAUGUCCCUUCUGGCUCCCUCAGGAAUUCAGCUCCACUUUAAUCAGGGCAGCGUCCCUCCCGCAGGCAGGGUAUGUAAUUAAUGGACUGGAGAAGGCUCACCCUGGGGCGCUUCUAUUGUUGUUGGGGACUCCAAUAUGGGCUAAUAGAAGGAAAGUUUGUCCUAAAGAACACCAGCACCAUUACUUUUCUACCUGUGGUGGAAAAGUUAUUGGACUACGGACCUUUUUGUGAUUCUCAUCCACGGGACAGAAUGUAAACCCCUCCCCCAGCCGGCCUUAGGUUAAGCGGAUCAAUCCACUCCAUUCUUCUCCCUCCAACGUCUUAAACUGGAAAAAACAACAAGGGUUCGUUGGGUGGUUCAAGGCUGGAGUGGGGAAUCCUUUGCCACUCUCCAGGACUGCCUGUCUCAGCCUCUCCCAGUGCAUUGAUGAUGUCGUCCCAAAUGGGACCCUGGGGAAAUUGAGGACUUUCAGAUAUGUCCUACAGAAAAGCCAUCAGAGAUGCCAAAAUAACCUACAGGGAGUCUCGUUGGAGCACAAAGAAAGAGAAAUCACAGUGGUGGCCAGCUCGCCGCAUUUGUUACGGAAGGGCCUCACGCACCUUCAUGCACUGUUUGAGGCAAGCAAGACCAUCCCUUCUGCGAGGCCAGCUGAGAACCAGGACGACUGCACUCUGUCCCUCACUAUGGCUGACCUGAGGAGCGCUUAUAAAAGGGUAAACCCUCGAAAGUAUCCUGGGCCAGAUGGUGUUCCAGGGAUCUCCUGGGAGCCUGGAUCCUGCACUUCCUGACGGCCAGACCCGUGGCGGUGAGAAUGGGAAACUUCACUAUCUCUGCACUGGGAGGAGAUCAGCGUCUUGGCAACAUGGUGCGAGGAAAACAACCCUAACGUAUGCAGGACUAAAGAGAGGAUUGUGUACUUCAGGAAGCAGCAGGGGCGUGUUACUGGAGCAUCCGGGCACAGAUUAGCAGACAAAAGAAAAUUGUUCCCCCCACCCAAUCAGGCUUCUCAACAAGCCAGUUUUAGGUUAGUGAUCAAAUUGAUCAAAGAAAUUAUUUAAUUGUUUUUAAUAAUAAAAAUAUAGCUUUUUUUCCUUUCUAUGAAUCUAUUUGCAAUGUUGCCGUUGUUGUCUUUUUAAAAUAAAUUGUAAUAUGUUUGUGAGUAGAUAUUAAUAGUAUACUGCC
ensembl:lncRNA